UGCACAAAAAACAAUCAUAGUUGUAAGACAUGAAUUUUUUUUUUUUUUUUUUUUUUUUUUUUUAAUACCCUUUUUCUGACCCUGUAUCAGAAACUCUGUUUUAGUGCUGCUUCUCCUUUAAGACUUGACAGUAAACACCCACUGUUAUGACUGGCUCUUGACUGACCUGCUCUUUCCUUGCCAUCUCACUGCUCGGCCCAUUGUACAAAGGUGCCUCAGUUUGUUCCUGACAGGCAGCAGAUGCCCUAACCCUGCCCCACCACCCUACUCCUAACCAUAUGGAGCCUGUAAGGCUGAGUAGCCUACCAGGAAAUUGGAUGGCACAUUUCACACCUACUGAGCGGGGCUACUGAAGUGAUAAGGUAAAGUAGGCACUGAUGUGUUGUUGUGGGGGCGGUCAGGUGCAAAUAUAUACCACAGUGUGACAUCACAGUGUGACAUCACAAUGCGGAGGAAGUAGACAACGAGUCAUUUUGGCAGCUUAGUUUCAACAAAUUCUCUUUUUGCAGUGAGGAAUUUUUGAGUUCUGAAAUUUACAGUAUGUUUUUAUAGCACAAUGACCUCAUAUGUUAAAAGAUCAAGGAAAAUGGGAUUCCUCAUGUCAUGACCCCUUUAAAUGAUAUCUUCAUUUGUGUCAUUGGUGUGAUUUAUUUGGUGUGGGUUCCUUUGAAAUUAUCUUAUUUAUUUGUCAGGGACACUACACAUUAAUCAAACAUCUCACUGAUGUAAAUGUGCCGGAUUUAACCAAAAAGGUUCAAUUUUGUGGCUAAUUUUCAUCUGCUGUCUCUGGGCACAGAUGAAAUAUGUUGUAUAUGUUGAGUCAUUUGAUAAUUCUAGGUUUUCAGUAUGGAAAUUCAAAUAAUUAGUAAGAAGAAAUGAACAGUUUGUCAUCACAACACAAGUGCCACUGUACACAGUUCUACAACUGUAUUCAGACACAGUUCGGUCUUAAUUAGUUGUCUUGGAACACCAGAGGCACUUGAUUAUUCGUGGAUGUUAAUUUGUGUUCAUGAUUCUGCUCAUUUCAAUUUGUGUUAAAAUUCAUUUUUGUUAAAGAGGAGACAGCUGUACUCAACCACCACAAUGUUUAUUUUAACAUAAUUACAUUAAACUGAUUCACAUGACACAAGAAAGAAGGUUUUCUAUUCCUCAGACUAUAUAAAUAGAGACCACAUGUUCUGUGGGCAAGGGGCAUGUGAGCAGUUAGUGCUUUAAAUGUUCUGACAUGUAUAUUUUAGGGCUCUUUGGUUUGCAUAAUAGCAGCCACUCUCACAUCUCACUCAAAAAUAAAAAAAAAAAAUGAUUUUUGGAGGAUGUUCACUUUUAAACAAUUAAUUUAGAUUUAACACCAUUGUACCAGGUUUCUUGUUCAAACACAGUUGUACAGUAAGACAAAAUACACGUUAAAAAUACAUACUCUGAAAAACCUAAAUAUCUUACGCAGUGUUGUUUCUAAAACGAGAUGAAUAUAAUUGAUCUUGUUUAAAGGAUUUUUAGAUAUUUUUACAGGAAAACAAUACAGAAAUUAUCAAGAAUACGAUUUUUGCCCUAAUAUCAAAGGUCUUACUAGAUAAAAAGAAAUUAUAAUCUAACGUGAAUUUUCUUGAUAAAAAAAUAUGAUCGUGCCUGGUAACGUGCAUGUAAAAUGGCUAGAAACAGCAUUUUAUCUUAGCGUAAAGCUGACAAUUUACACAAGGUUUAUUUCUAUUUCUUGUACUCCAAACUUACUUCAAACUUACUUCUCUGUCUGCUCGUAUGAAUGUAACACAUCAUAUGAAAGUGUUUCACCGUUGUUCAAAUGCACUUUGGAUCGCAUCAUUUAUAUGUAUAAAUGUUUUCCAUCUGAAAGGACUAAAUAUUAAAUGAAACAAAUGACAAUAAAAUGCAAAGUAAUCUCUUCAGUAAUCAAAAUACUUUUGAAUGUAACUGUAUUCUAAUUACCAAUGAUUUAAAUUGUAACUGUAGUGGAAUACAGUUACUUAUAUUUUGUAUUUUAAAUACGUAAUCCCGUUACAUGUAUUCCGUUACUCCCCAACCCUGCUUACCUUAACUAAAACGCUAUGGGUGAGUGACAUGAGAAGGUGGUCAGAGGUGUCGUACGAGAUAUUUUUAAUGACUUUAAGUUGUCUCUUGGAGUUUCAUGAGAACAGAGGCACAUCAGUACGUCCACAGCUUGAAGGUAGGAUCUUGUGUAUUUAUGAAUGAAGUACUCAUGUUUUAAAAUCUCCCAGCUCUGCUUCCAGUUGUUAUGAUAUCCCCUUAACACUUUAAAAUACUCAUGAUGGCUUUUGACUACUCUAUAACCUGUAAAUCCACUUUGCUAGCUAAUUACACUAAUUGACAACACCAUAGAUAUCUAUAUAGAACAGUUAGAAUGGAAGUUCCGAGACAAAAUAUUCAAGAUGGCUGUGCGCUUGUUUCUCUGGCGCAUAAGGUGAAAAUUAGUAACUGUUGUCAUCCGCCAUAGCUUGUACACAAAACAUAUUCCACAUUAUGCACAAUUUGUAUUGCACAUAUUGCACAGCUCUUCACAGGAGCACUGACUGGAUUUUUAAAUGUACUUUAAAAUUGCAACUUGUUCUUUAUCUCUAUUUUAUGUUUUAGGAAUGUGCUGAAUUUGAGAGCAUAGCAACUGUACCUCUAGUGUCAAAAUUCAAGUUAGUAGAACACACUCCAAAACUUUUGAAGAUCUUUGCGAAGCUAGGGGGAGUUAAGUGAUUAAGGAUCAGGGAAUUUCUUGGGCCAGUUUCUCAGGUGUGAUAACUGCACUCAUUACCAUAAAUCAGGGGUGGGUAACUAUUUUGGUAAAGGGGCCACAUCGGGCUUUAAGUUGUGCAUGGGGGCCACAUUGUAUUCCUUUUAAGAUACAAUGUUCCGCAUUGAUUUUUUAAAAAAUAAUUUUAUCUUUUAAGCCCAGAAAUUGUUCUGAAUGUGCUCAAAAUAGAAAUAGAAGUGUGCUCAAUUUUCUGAAAUGUAUAUGUGACUAAUGGGACUAUUCUGCAGUUGCCUAAAGUAUUGUAUUGCUCUACAAAGCUAGAUACUUUUCUAUCAGGCAUUUAAAAACUGAAUAAAAGCUGAGCUUAUUAUAAAUUAUUUAUUUGACCAUCUCUACUUCCCUGUUAAUUUAUUAUUCAAUUUAACAUUCUCUACAUCAGAGGUCUAUUUUAAUAAUAAUAAUAAUAAUAAAACAUCUAAAAUUAUAGAUCUUAUAAUGUUUGUUGCAAAGCGGGCUAGUUUACUUAUUUUAUUCUCAAAACAUUACCCGUUUACACGUUAAAUGUGUCAUGAUGCGGGUCUUGUCAAUGGUUUGACUUUCCAUUCAGCACACAACUGAAUAAAACAGGCUGCAUGACUAUGAUUAAUGGUUACUGCAAGAGUUUAACAUACAGGUGCGAGGGGACUUCAGCAUUUCUAAAUUGCACAAAUAAAAAAUACAUACACAUAUUCGUCUCUUGCUUGCUUUUGCUCACUUGUCAAUGAUGCCAAGAUUGGAUUGAUAAGUUUGUACUCGCGUGCAUGGUUGCCAGAUUGCACAAAAUAAGUAUAACAUUAGGUAGAAUAUUUCCAAUUUGCGCAAGUAUAAAUCUCAAAUUGGGAUUAUCUGGCUGAGUAUGUUAAAAACUUGUGGAGGUGUGUUAGGUCCCAAUGCAAGAUAACUGAAAUAGACAAAGGGGAAAAAAUAGCGCUUUUAGGAUAAAUGAGCCGUGGGCCACAUUAAACCAUGUGGAGGGCCGGAUCUGGCCCGCGGGCCAUAAAUUGCUCUGGUCUGCUAUAAAUGCUCCACUUCAGAAGACAUGAAUUAAUCCACUGGAGUCCUAUAGAUUACUUUUAUGAUGGCUUUAUGUGCUUUUUGGAGCUUCAAAAACUUGGCACCCAUUUACCUGCAUUUUACGGACCUACAGAGCUGAGAUAUUCUUCUAAAAAUCUUAAUUUCUGUUCUGCAGAAGAAAGCAAGUCAAACACAUAUGGGAUGGCAUGAGGGUGAGUACAUUAUGAGAGAAUUUUCAUUUUUGGGUGAACUAUUUCUUUAAAAUGUAUUUUGUUAUAGGUGCAUGUUGAAAAUGGUCAUGUUCUUAUCCUCAGUGUGACUACAUUGAUGUUAAGAGGGAGUGUAUCAUCAAAGCCCUGUUUGUCUAGCAAAAUGAGGAUCCUGAGUACAUGAAUGAACAUUUUGCCAGCCCUCAGACUGCUUUUGAAGAAACAUCCUUGGGAGUUAUGUCACCAGAUUGACACUGCUGUAGGACCUUUUUGCAACUGAUUGCUCUUGCCCUGGCUAGAGGUAUCUAUCAGUCCCAGACUGACACGACACCAUGCAGUAGCAAUGAGGAAGAGUAACCUCAAGCAAAAUGCCACAGAGCUUUAGCUGUGAUGUUCUAUUCCAUUGUUUGUGUGUGUGUGUAUAUAUAUAUAAAAUGUGUAGAAAAAAAGGGAGAAAAAUACUGGCACACUGCUGACAUUCCAAUUUAAUGAAAUUGUAUCGACCCGAACAGAACCUGAUGAAGACCCAUUCAGACAUUGUCAUUAAACUGUUAAAGUAUUUUUCUCCCUUUUUUCUAUGGAUAUUAAUUUGUAGAUGUACACAUGAAUGUAUUAGAUGUGUGUAAACUAUCCUUAAGUGUAUUUUUUAUAUAAAAUUGUUCCUAAAUGUUGUUUCGUAGUAACAUAAAUUACAAUUUAAAACCUAGAUUAUCGCACUUUUUUCCCCAUAAAGACGUACCACAUUCCUUAGUUGUACAAUGAAAUUAUGUAAAAGACACUUGAGUUUCACAUGUUGUAUAUGUGCAUAUAAAAUUAAAUGCCUCU